ACGCCCCUGGUGGUGAUAGAGAAGAGGUUGAGGGCUUUUCUGAAAGCUCAUUAAACUAUCUAACUGGUGCAACGUAUUGGGUCCACCUUCGUCAGCCAAUUUAGGCGCUAGAGCGUUUACAAGGUUGAAACAAAAAUGUGAUUUUUUUUAACUACUUUUUAUUAUGAACACUAUUGCCACGCCCCUGGUAGUGAUAGAGAAUAGGUUGAGGGCUUUUCUGGAAGCUCAUUAAACUAUCUAACUGAUGCAACGUAUUGGGUCCACCUUCGUCAGCCAAUUUAGGCGCUAGAGCGUUUACAAGGUUGAAACAAAAAUGUGAUUUUUGUUAAAACUACUUUUUAUUAUGAACACUAUUGCCACGCCCCUGGCGGUGAUAGAGAAGAGGUUGAGGGCUUUUCUGAAAGCUCAUUAAACUAUCUAACUGGUGCAAUGUAUUGGGUCCACCUUCGUCAGCCAAUUUAGGCGCUAGAGCGUUUACAAGGUUGAAACAAAAAUGUGAUUUUUUUUUAACUACUUUUUAUUAUGAACACUAUUGCCACGCCCCUGGCGGUGAUAGAGAAGAGGUUGAGGGCUUUUCUGAAAGCUCAUUAAACUAUCUAACUGAUGCAAUGUAUUGAGUUCACCUACGUCAGCUAAUUUAGGCGCUAGAGCGUUUACAAGUUUGAAACAAAAAUGUGAUUUUUGUUAAAACUACUUUUUAUUAUGAACACUAUUGCCACGCCCCUGGCGGUGAUAGAGAAGAGGUUGAGGGCUUUUCUGAAAGCUCAUUAAACUAUCUAACUGAUGCAAUGUAUUGAGUUCACCUACGUCAGCUAAUUUAGGCGCUAGAGCGUUUACAAGGUUGAAACAAAAAUGUGAUUUUUGUUAAAACUACUUUUUAUUAUGAACACUAUUGCCACGCCCCUGGCGGUGAUAGAGAAGAGGUUGAGGGCUUUUCUGAAAGCUCAUUAAACUAUCUAACUGAUGCAAUGUAUUGAGUUCACCUACGUCAGCUAAUUUAGGCGCUAGAGCGUUUACAAGGUUGAAACAAAAAUGUGAUUUUUGUUAAAACUACUUUUUAUUAUGAACACUAUUGCCACGCCCCUGGUGGUGAUAGAGAAGAGGUUGAGGGCUUUUCUGAAAGCUCAUUAAACUAUCUAACUGAUGCAAUGUAUUGAGUUCACCUACGUCAGCUAAUUUAGGCGCUAGAGCGUUUACAAGGUUGAAACAAAAAUGUGAUUGUUUUUAAAACUACUUUUUAUUAUGAACACUAUUGCCACGCCCCUGGUGGUGAUAGAGAAGAGGUUGAGGGCUUUUCUGAAAGCUCAUUAAACUAUCUAACUGGUGCAAUGUAUUGGGUCCACCUACGUUAGCCAGUUUAGGCGCUAGAGCGUUUACAAGGUUGAAACAAAAAUUUGAUUUUUUUUAACUACUUUUCAUUGUGAACACUAUUGCCACGCCCCUGGUGGUGAUAGGGAAGAGGUUGAGGGAUUUUCUGAAAGCUCAUUACACUAUCUAACCGAUGCAAUGUAUUAGUCCACCCAGUUUAGGCGCUAGAGCGUUUACAAGGAUGAAUCAAAAAUUUGAUUUUUUUUAACUACUUUUCAUUGUGAACACUAUUGCCACGCCCCUGGUGGUGAUAGGGAAGAGGUUGAGGGCUUUUCUGAAAGCUCAUUAAACUAUCUAACUGAUGCAAUGUAGUAAGUCCACCCACGUGAGCCAGUUUAGGCGCUAGAGCGUUUAACAGGUUGAAACAAUAAUGUACUUUUCAUUGUGAACACUAUUGCCAAGCCCCUGGUGGUGAUAGGGAAGAGGUUGAGGGCUUUUCUGAAAGCUCAUUAAACUAUCUAACUGAUGCAAUGUAUUAAGUCCACCCACGUGAGCCAGUUUAGGCGCUAGAGCGUUUACAAGGUUGAAACAAAAACUUGAUUUUUUUUAAACUACUUUUCAUUGUGAACACUAUUGCCACGAUCCUGGUGGUGAUAGAGAAGAGGUUGAGGGAUUUUCUGAAAGCUCAUUACACUAUCUAACCGAUGCAAUGUAUUAAGUCCACCCAGUUUAGGCGCUAGAGCGUUUACAAGGAUGAAUCAAAAAUUUGAUUUUUUUUAACUACUUUUCAUUGUGAACACUAUUGCCACGCCCCUGGUGGUGAUAGGGAAGAGGUUGAGGGAUUUUCUGAAAGCUCGUUAAACUAUCUAACUGGUGCAAUGUACUGGGUCCACCUACGUCAGCUAAUUUAGGCGCUAGAGCGUUUACAAGGAUGAAUCAAAAAUUUGAUUUUUAUAAACUACUUUUCAUUGUGAACACUAUUGCCACGCCCCUGGUGGUGAUAGGGAAGAGGUUGAGGGCUUUUCUGAAAGCUCAUUAAACUAUCUAACUGAUGCAAUGCAUUAAGUCCACCCACGUGAGCCAAUUUAGGCGCUAGAGCGUUUACAAGGUUUGAAUAAAA